AUUGAACGCUGGCGGCAUGCCUUACACAUGCAAGUCGAACGGCAGCGCGGACUUCGGUCUGGCGGCGAGUGGCGAACGGGUGAGUAAUACAUCGGAACGUACCCCGUUGUGGGGGAUAACUAGUCGAAAGAUUAGCUAAUACUGCAUACGACCUGAGGGUGAAAGUGGGGGACCGCAAGGCCUCACGCAGCAGGAGCGGCCGAUGUCUGAUUAGCUAGUUGGUGGGGUAAAGGCCCACCAAGGCGACGAUCAGUAGCUGGUCGGAGAGGACGAUCAGCCAGACUGGGCUGAGGCACGGCCCAGACGCCUACGGGAGGCAGCAGUGGGGAAUUUUGGACAAUGGGGGCAACCCUGAUCCAGAAAUGCCGCGUGUGUGAAGAAGGCCUUCGGGUUGUAAAGCACUUUUGUCCGGAAAGAAAUCGCGCUGGUUAAUACCUGGCGUGGAUGACGGUACCGGAAGAAUAAGCACCGGCUAACUACGUGCCAGCCGCCGCCGUAA
rnacentral:rRNA from 1 species